AACUGGAAAUUUGAGAAUUGUUUUUUUUUUAUUAUAGUCAAAUAUUAGUCAAAAGAAAUUCAAAUCAAACCUUUGAGACAUAAAAUUGCUAACUGGGUUUAAAUUAGGGGAUAAUUUGAAAAUACACCGUCUAUCAUUUAAAUUUUGAAAAAUAUAUUUUUUUUUCUUUUUUGAAAAUUACACUUUCUUGUAUAUGAUAAGACAUAUUUACCCUGGUUCUAAU
rnacentral:lncRNA from 1 species